rnacentral:rRNA from 1 species
UGGGGAAUAUUGCGCAACGGGGGGAACCCUGACGCAGCCAUGCCGCGUGAAUGAAGAAGGCCUUAGGGUUGUAAAGUUCUUUCGGUAUUGAGGAAGGUUGAUGUGUUAAUAGCACAUCAAAUUGACGUUAAAUACAGAAGAAGCACCGGCUAACUCCGUGCCAGCAGCCGCGGUAAUACGGAGGGUGCGAGCGUUAAUCGGAAUAACUGGGCGUAAAGGGCACGCAGGCGGUUAUUUAAGUGAGGUGUGAAAGCCCCGGGCUUAACCUGGGAAUUGCAUUUCAGACUGGGUAACUAGAGUACUUUAGGGAGGGGUAGAAUUCCACGUGUAGCGGUGAAAUGCGUAGAGAUGUGGGGGAAUACCGAAGGCGAAGGCAGCCCCUUGGGAAUGUACUGACGCUCAUGUGCGAAAGCGUGGGGAGCAAACAGGAUUAGAUACCCUGGUAGUCCACGCUGUAAACGCUGUCGAUUUGGGGGUUGGGGUUUAACUCUGGCGCCCGUAGCUAACGUGAUAAAUCGACCGCCUGGGGAGUACGGCCGCAAGGUUA